GUCGCGGGGCGUGCUCUGCGCUGGGCGCGCGGAGGCCAAGGCGGGAAGCUCGAGCGGCGGCGCCAUGGCCCGAGCGUGGCAGCACCCGUUCCUCAGCGUCUUCAGACACUUCCGGGUGGACGAGUGGAAGCGCUCCGCCAAGCAGGGGGACGUGGCCGUGGUCACGGACAAGACCCUGAAGGGCGCCGUGUAUCGCAUUCGGGGCUCAGUCUCUGCCGCCAACUACAUCCAGCUCCCUGGGAGCAGCACCCAGUCCCUGGGGCUGACGGGACGAUACCUGUACGUGCUCUUUCGGCCCCUGCCCGGCAAGCACUUCGUCAUCCACUUGGAUGUGUCCACCAAGGACAACCAAGUCAUCCGUGUGUCUUUCUCCAACCUCUUCAAGGAGUUUAAGUCUACGGCCACGUGGCUCCAGUUUCCCUUGGUCCUGGAGACCAGGACACCUCAGAGAGAUCUGGUGGGUUUGGCCCCCUCCAGAGCCCGCUGGACCUGCCUGCAGCUCGACCUGCAGGACAUUCUCCUGGUCUACCUGAACCGGUGCUACGGCCAUCUCAAGAGCAUCAGGCUGUGCGCCAGCCUGCUGGUCAGGAACCUGUACACCAGCGACCUGUGCUUUGAGCCUGCCAUCUCUGGGGCCCAGUGGGCAAAGCUGCCCGUGACUCCUAUGCCUCGGGAAAUGGCAUUCCCUGUGCCCAAGGGAGAGAGCUGGCAUGACCGCUACGUCCACGUCCGGUUUCCAAGUGACAGCUUGAAAGUGUCUUCCAAGCUGAUUGAGAACAGCUGUUCCCCUCCUGAGGCAGUCCUCCUGGGGCCGGGGCCACAGCCUCUCCCUUGCCCGGUGGCCUCCAGCAAACCUGUGCGGUUCAGUGUGUCUCCAGUGGUCCAGACGCCCAGCCCCACAGCCGUGAGUACCCCUUCGCCCUAUGAGAUGGGGUUGGGGCGUGAUGGCCCAGGGUGCUGAUGGGCACUUGUCCCCCAACAGUCUGGCUGGGCCCCCUUGGCACCCAGGCCCUUCCUGGAGGUCAGCCUGUCCCAAGAGCGCUCAGACGCCUCCAACGUGGAUGGCCCCGGUUUCCAUAGCCUUGAGCCCUGGGCCCACGUGGAGGCCUCUGACGUCCACACGGCUGCUGCUGGCACCCAUGUGUUGACUCACGAGUCGGCUGAGGUGCCUGUGGUCCGCACCGGCUCCUGCGAGGGCUUCCUCCCAGACCCGGUCCUGAGGCUCAAGGGCGUCAUCGGCUUUGGGGGCCACAGCACCAGACAGGCCCUGUGGACCCCGGACGGGGCAGCUGUCGUGUACCCCUGCCAUGCGGUCAUUGUCGUCCUGCUUGUGGACACAGGGGAGCAGCGCUUCUUCCUCGGCCACACAGACAAGGUGGGUGCUGCCCGGGCCCGGGGCGGCUCACACCUGCAGCCCCUGCACCCUCCCUCACCCUUCUGCCUCCUAGGUCUCCGCCCUGGCGCUGGAUGGCAGCAGCUCACUAUUGGCCUCGGCCCAGGCAAGGGCCCCCAGUGUGAUGCGGCUCUGGAACUUCCAGACCGGGCAGUGCCUGUGCCUGUUCCGGAGCCCAGUGCACGUUGUCUGCUCUCUCAGGUGAGCACAGGUGUGCCCCAUGCAGGGGGUGGGGGUCAGCCCAGGCGACACUGACAACCUCCUCCCUGUUCACAGCUUCUCUGACAGCGGGGCCCUUCUCUGCGGGGUUGGCAAGGACCACCACGGGAGGACGAUGGUGGUGGCCUGGGGCACUGGCCAGGUGGGCCUCGGUGGCGAGGUGGUCGUUCUGGCAAAGGCGCACACUGACUUUGACGUCCAGGCCUUCCGGGUCACCUUUUUUGAUGAAACCAGGAUGGCGUCGUGUGGGCAGGGCAGCGUGCGGCUCUGGCGGCUGCGUGGCGGGGCGCUGCGUUCCUGCCCUGUGGACUUAGGGGAGCACCACACACUGCAGUUCACCGACCUCGCCUUCAAGCAGGCCCAGGACGGCUGCCUGGAGCCGUUGGCUGCCAUGCUCUUCGUGUGCAGCCGCAGCGGCCACAUCUUGGAGAUUGACUGUCAGCGCAUGGUCGUGCGGCAUGCCCGCCGCCUGCUCCCCACACGGACUCCGGGCGGCCCCCACCCGCAGAAGCAGACCUUCAGCUCAGGUAAGAGGGCGCCCGCCACGUGGCGAGGGUGGCAGGGACACCGAGGCACUGACGCCUCCCCGCCCCCAGGCCCCGGCAUUGCCAUCAGCAGCCUCAGCAUCUCCCCGGCCAUGUGUGCUGUGGGCUCUGAGGACGGCUUCCUGCGGCUCUGGCCCCUGGACUUCUCCUCGGUGCUCCUGGAGGCAGGUGAUGCUGUGGGCACGCUCUCCCAACUCUGGGAGAGCCUCGCCUGGAUGCUGGGGCGGGGAAGGCCCAGUACCCGGGACUUUGCUGUCAGCCGCCCUGUCUCCUGGCUGCACAGGGAGCCACGGGGCCAAGUGGCGUAUCCUGAGCCCUGGGGUGGCUGAUGCCAGGGCGGCCCGCAGGGCAGCCUCACGGAAGGGCCCGGUGGGAUGUGGGUAGUGUGCGAAGCCCCUCAGCCUGGGUCCCGCCUAGCUUAGGAGUGGUGGCCUCGAGGGAGCUGCAUCUUGCAGCCACGUGGAGUCUGGGACUUUGAGC
rnacentral:sRNA from 1 species